ensembl:lncRNA novel transcript, antisense to ELK3
AUCCUGGCUUUGUCACCAGUUGACUUGGAAACUCCCCUCCCCUCGAAGAUCCUCACUUGCUAAAGGAGGGGUAGGUAGGGCAAGACGCUUUCUUGGAUCCUCUCUUGAGUGACUUUCCAAGGUGACAGACUCCCUUCUGUGCCAUGGAGAAGGAUGCUUGUUUCCUACUCAUUCCUACUACACUUGAUUGGUGCUGCCACGCCCUCGGCUCUGCAGGAUGCAGGAAAUGCUCAAAUCCCAGAAGCAGGAACGCUCAUGCUGGCAAACGCAGACUCGGUGUGGGCUUGGGCAACAGCCUGACGUAAGUGGAUCUGGCAAGGCCGCAAGAGCUUUGGCAGCCGAGCCCCUGGCGCAGAAGCAUCCUCAUCAACACAGUGUUGACGGCGCUCCCGGGCCUCUGGCUCAUCCCUGUUUCUUAGCAACUGCCCUAUUUUGGGGGAACACUGAGUGCCACAGGGAAGCUGGCCUGGAAGCACGUGCAAGACAGGCAGCACCUUCAGUCAACACGCAGCCCCCUGCUCCCAGCAGCCUGGUCCCCUGAUACCAGCUGCCAUCUCCCGGCACAAUGUGACCAGAUUGGAAGACCUCCAUGAGGCGGUUCAGCCACUCCACAGGUCUCUAAGCAGCUUCCAGGACCCAAGCUUGUGAGAGAGGCCCUGGUCAUCCCCUGCGCCCCCAGGCAAUAGCCCAUUGCCAUCUGUUAUGCUUCCAACCAUCUGAAUAGCUGCUAUGGUAGGAAAGAAAGACACUUAACAAAACACACCAGGCCCUCAACACUCACACCCAGGGCCGGGCACAGAGGGCCCCCUCGAUCGAUAAAACACCCCAAAGGGAGUCCAGGUCUUCCCUAACAUUCCAUGACCAACAGAGGUGUUCUAGAAAGUUCUGGGAUAUGAAUGCCUGCUGGAUGUUUGUUCCUUCUCCACUUUGACAACAUCAUUUUAUCUUUGCAAAAUUUAUUUUGGAGGAAUUAAAGAAUUCCACCAGGGCCAGGUUUCUUGGGAGAGGCAGUUGAUCUCAGAUAUGUAUUAUUAAUACUAACAUUUUCUUGUCGUGAUUGCACGCCCAAUUUAAAAUGAAUUAUCCAAUUAAGUUAAGAAGGUGAUGCGUUCUAAUUCCAGGAAUAGGUUGCCAAUGACUUUGUCUUGACUGUUCUCCCCGAAAUCCCUUCCAAUUAAGUAAAGAUUGUUCAGUACAUCGUGAGGCUAAGCCAAGAGGUUGCUGUGGAGACGGGAGGAUUUUUCAUCCUAUCACCAUUUUCCUCUCUUGAUGAGAAGGGAGCCAGCAGAGCUUUCAGCCUCCCCCGGGGUUGAAUGUUCAGUGCCAGCAAGGACAAAAGGUCUGCUGGACAGAAGAGGAUGAGGGGUUGUGAAAGCUUCCAGGUCUCCUUCUGCAACAACAGAGAGAACCCGUGUCUUCAGCUUCUCGUGAGCAAAAGACAGUUGCCCACAUUAUGGGGAUACCAGAGCCCAUCCUUUUUCCCUCUCCACCUCAUGCUGAAGGUGUGAUAGGGCCAACUCGGCCAGCAGAGAGAAAUAGAUUCAUGGUACCUGGCCAGAAAGAUCAAGGCUGUAUGGUUGGGUGUAAAAUGAUCCAUGCCAAGAACAGUAAGAGGAGACACAGAUUUUUAUUUCUAAAAUGGAAAUCUGCUCAUAGCACUCUCUUGCUUUUUUAAGAGACAGAGUUUUGCUCUUUCACUCUGUUGCCGAGGCUGGAGUGCAGUCAUAUAGUAAGAGCUCACUGCAGCCUCUACUUCCUGGGCUCAAGUGAUCCUCCUGCCUCAGCCUCCCCAGUAAGUAGGACUACAGGUGCGCACAACCAUGCCCAGCUAAUUUUUUGUCAUUUUUGCUCAUCUGUUAUUAUUAGUUUUUUGGUUCUUGGGGGCUUUUUUUUGUUUGUUUUUGUAGAAACAAGGCCUCACUAUAUUGCCCAGGCUGGUCUCAAAACUCCUGGGCUCAAGCAAUCUUCUCAUCUUGGCCUCCCAAAGUACUGGGAUUACAGGUGUGAGCAUUCCCCGCCCCCUCCCCCAUCUCCUGUUUUUAACUUUUUUUUUAAUGUAUUUUUAUUUAUUUUUUUUUUUGAGAUGGAGCCUUGCUCAGUUGCCCAGGCUGCAGUGCAGUGAUGUGAUCUCGGCCCACUGCAAUCUCCACCUCCCAGGUUCAAGCAAUUCUCCUGCCUCAGCCUCCCGAGUAGCUGGGAUUUAUAGGCGCACACCACCAUGCCCAGCUAAUUUUUGUAUUUUUAGUAGAGACGGGGUUUUCACCAUGUUGGCCGGAAUGGUCUCGAUCUCCUGACCUCAGGAUCCACCCGCCUCGGCCUCCCAAAGUGCUGGGAUUGCAGGCGUGAGCCACCGCACCCAGCC